CAGAAUCUAUUAGUGGUUGAUUUUGCAUGGUUAAACGUUGCCAGUCUGACAAUCGGUACCCGUACCCCUGCUGGACAAAUGGAGUAGGAUUGGUGUCUUUUCCGAAACCACAUAUCGAUCCUCAUAAAGCAAUGAGGUGGAUAAAGGCAUGCAGCAGGCCUCACAGUCAAUUCAAUCUGGGAAAAAUCACCAAAAAUACCUACGUGUGUACCAAGAAUUUUCAUUGAGGCGAUGCCAGACCAACUGAUGGAUACUCCGAUCCUAUAUACCAGAUUCUUGCCGCCCAACAAAAAAGCACCAUCAAAUUGUGAGGCAUUUGCGCGAAGACAUCCAGCCAGAUCCCUCCACAGCCGCUUAACACAGAAACAAGUGAUUGUGAUGAAAGUGAGGCAUGCUCGUCAAAGAUCCUCCAGGAUCUGUCGCCG